CAGUAGCCGCGGUAAUACCGAGGGUGCGAGCGUUAAUCGGAUUUACUGGGCGUAAAGCGUGCGUAGGCGGCUAAUUGAGUCGGAUGUGAAAUCCCCGAGCUUAACUUGGGAAUUGCAUUCGAUACUGGUUAGCUAGAGUGUGGGAGAGGAUGGUAGAAUUCCAGGUGUAGCGGUGAAAUGCGUAGAGAUCUGGAGGAAUACCGAUGGCGAAGGCAGCCAUCUGGCCUAACACUGACGCUGAGGUACGAAAGCAUGGGGAGCAAACAGGAUUAGAUACCCCAGUAGUCCCUGUCUCUUAUAA
rnacentral:rRNA from 1 species